UAGAGUUUGAUCCUGGCUCAGGGUGAACGCUGGCGGCGUGCCUAAUACAUGCAAGUCGAACGCACAGCGAAAGGUGCUUGCACCUUUCAAGUGAGUGGCGAACGGGUGAGUAACACGUGGAUAACCUACCUCAAGGUUGGGGAUAACAUUUGGAAACAGAUGCUAAUACCGAAUAAAACUUAGUAUCGCAUGAUACCAGGUUAAAAGGCGCUACGGCGUCACCUAGAGAUGGAUCCGCGGUGCAUUAGUUAGUUGGUGGGGUAAAGGCUUACCAAGACAAUGAUGCAUAGCCGAGUUGAGAGACUGAUCGGCCACAUUGGGACUGAGACACGGCCCAAACUCCUACGGGAGGCUGCAGUAGGGAAUCUUCCACAAUGGGCGAAAGCCUGAUGGAGCAACGCCGCGUGUGUGAUGAAGGCUUUCGGGUCGUAAAGCACUGUUGUAUGGGAAGAACAGCUAGAGUAGGGAAUGACUUUAGUUUGACGGUACCAUACCAGAAAGGGACGGCUAAAUACGUGCCAGCAGCCGCGGUAAUACGUAUGUCCCGAGCGUUAUCCGGAUUUAUUGGGCGUAAAGCGAGCGCAGACGGUUAAUUAAGUCUGAUGUGAAAGCCCGGAGCUCAACUCCGGAAAGGCAUUGGAAACUGGUUAACUUGAGUGCAGUAGAGGUAAGUGGAACUCCAUGUGUAGCGGUGGAAUGCGUAGAUAUAUGGAAGAACACCAGCGGCGAAGGCGGCUUACUGGACUGUAACUGACGUUGAGGCUCGAAAGUGUGGGUAGCAAACAGGAUUAGAUACCCUGGUAGUCCACACCGUAAACGAUGAACACUAGGUGUUAGGAGUUUCCGCCUCUUAUGCCGAAGCUAACGCAUUA
rnacentral:rRNA from 1 species